AGAAGAAGAGGGGAGAAGAGAAGAAAAGAAGAAGAAGAAGAAGAAGAAGAAGAGAGGGAAGAGGGAGAGGAAAGAGAGAUAGCUGUAGCAGCUAGGGCUGCAGCACCUCUGUUUCAUGUAGGAGGAAACAGAGGAGUUCAUGUGUGGGGGCGUCGGGGAGGAGAAGAGGAGAAGAAGAGAAGCAGAGGAAGAAGAAGAAGAAGAAGAAGAAGAAGAAGAAGAAGAAGAAGAAGAAGAAAAGAGGAGGUGGCUGCGGCAAGGGCUGCAGCGAGGAGCCGUGGGGCGUUGGGGAGGAGAAAGGAAGAAGAGAAGAAGAAGAAAAGAAGAAGAAGAGGGAAAAGAAGAGAGGAGGAAGAGGAGGGAGAAGAGAAGAAUAGAAGAAGAAGAAAAAGAGAGGGAAGUGGGAGAGGAGCGAGAGGUGGCAGCAGCUAGGGCUGCAGCACCUCUGUUUCCUGCAGGCAGAAACAGAGGAGACGAGGUGUGGGGUGUUGGGGACGAGAAGAAGAAGAAGAGGAAAAAGAAGAAGAGAAAAAGAGAAAAAAGAAGGAUGGCUACGGCAUGGGCUGCAGUGAGAAAGUGUGGGGUGUCGGGUAGGAGAAGGGAAGAAGAAGAAGGAGAAGAAGGAGAAGAAGGAGAAGAAGAAGAAGAGGAAGAGAAGAAGUAGAAGCGGGUGAAGAGGCGACACCUUUGUUUCCUAUAGGAGGAAACAGAGGAGAGGAGGUGCUGUUCGUCGGGGAGAAGAAGAAGAGGAAGAGAAGAAGAAGAGGAAGCAUGAGAAGAGGUUGUGAUACCUCUGUUUCCUGCAAAGGAAACAGAGGAGAGGGUGUGUGUGACGCCGGGGAGGAGGAGGGAAGAAGAAGAGGAGAAGAAGAAGAGAAGGGAAAGGAGGAGCUGUGGCUGCGGCAGUGGCAGCUGCAGCUGGAAGAGAAGGAGAGGAAGAGAUGGUGAGGAAGAAGAGAAGAAGAAGAAACGAAGGAGAAGGAAGAGGAGAAGGGAAAGAAGCAGCUGCGGCUGUGGCAGAUGUAGCUGUGGCAGGGAAAGACGAAGAGGAAGGAAGAAGAGAAGGAGAGGAAGAAGAGAAGGGGAAGAAGGGGCUGCGGCUGCGGCGAUGGCAGCUGUAGCUAGAAGAGAAGAAGGAGAGGAAGAUGAGCAGGGGAGGAAGAAGAGGCUACGGCCGUGGCUGAGGCUGCGACUACAGUAGUGCAGCUGGGAAAGAAGAGAAGGAAAGGAAGAAGAGAAAGGAAAAGGGAAGAAGAGAGGAAGAGGAGAAGGGGAGGCAGCUACGGCAGUGGCAGCUGCAGUUGGAAGAGAAGGAGAGGAAACAGAGCAGGGGAGGAAGAAGAGGCUACGGCUAUGGUGGUUGCGGUCGUGGCUGCGACUGCAGCUGCAGCUGCUAGGUUGGCUGCGGUAACCGCGGCAGCGGUGGUGGCUGCAGCAGCUGCUUUUGGGAAAGAGAAGAAAGAAAAGGGAAAGAAAAAAAGGGGCCGUGGCCGUGAUUGCGGCUGCUGCGGUGGUGGCAACUGCGUCAGCGGCAGCUGGGUUUGGAAAAGAAAAAGUAGGAACGAGAGAAGGGAGGAAGGAAGUGGUGCAGUGGAAGGGGCUGUGGUUGUGACAGCAGCUACGGUCGUGGCUACGACUGUGGUAGUGGCAACGACGAUGGCUGCGACAGCUGUGUUUGAAAAAGAAAACAACGGAAUGAGAGUAAGAGAGAGCAGGUGACUAUACCUCUAUGUUCUGCAUGAGCUGUAGUUGUGGAGGAAAAAGAGAAGACAUAUAUAGAACACGGAACAGGGAGAGGACACGGAGGAAAAGUAGAAGGAUUUGGGCUGACACCUUCUUUGGAUCUUCGGAUCGAAAUCUUUGAAAGAGCCGACCUAGCACUUGGGUAGGGUGAGAGGGCUCGAGUAGGAAAGGACUACCCGUGGAUGGAGUCGAGAACUCAUCAUGGCGUGGAGCCACCACUGAGUUAAACCUCACAUGCACUUUGCUAGGGUCAGCUUGUCAUUCUUUGAGAUGUUUGAAUUGGGCUGAGGCAGUGGAGAGCUAUUCUGAAUUAUGGGCAAGUCUUGUUGGUUAUUAUGUUAUUGUUGUAUAAGCAUAUUUUGUAUGUAAUGAAAUAUUGUCGAUGAAUCGAAAUGGAUAUACUGUGUAAAAGUAUUAGAAGAACUCUCUUAUUUGAAAUUUCGGAAUGUUAAGUCUAGUUUACGAUGA